GACGGAGGGUGCAAGCGUUGUUCGGAUUGACUGGGCGUAAAGGGCGUGUAGGCGGCCGGCCAAGUCUGCUGUGAAAGCCCGGGGCUCAGCCCCGGAAGGGCGGCGGAAACUAGUCGGCUGGAGCGCGAUAGAGGAGGGUGGAAUUCCUGGUGUAGCGGUGAAAUGCGUAGAUAUCGGGAGGAACACCUGUGGCGAAAGCGGCGCACUGGACCAUAACUGACGCUGAGGCGCGAAAGCUAGGGGAGCAAACAGG
rnacentral:rRNA from 1 species